GCACAUAUUCAGUACGAUUUAUGUCUAUUAAUGGAUGGCACGAUAGGGGAUCCAGCUCAAAGUUCAGAAAGGUCCCCCAAUCUUGACACUGGAGGUGGCAGAGCUGGUGCUGAUUUGAGGGGAGCCUGCCCAGAUUGUAAGCUCAUCCAGCAACAUCGACUUAGACUUUGACAUCUUCCUCAAACAUGGAUACACCAAGCACCUUUCCUCUGGAGUUUGCAUGCAGUGCCUUCAGAAUUCACAGAGAGCCUGGUUGAGCAGCCCAGCAUCUCCUGCCAGCGUAACCUAGCCCAAGAGGGUGGGGGCAAAGGAGAGUCCUGAUGUCCAAGUGGAGGCAGAAGUGCUCUCAGCUGGAACCCGGCACAGGAACCUGAGGCAGACAUCUUGCUCCUGAAGCUCUGCAGAGUCCACAUGGCCGAUGGCCACAUGAGGAGUGAGGCUCCUCAGGGCACAGGUCCUCGGACUGUACCCUGGUUUGUCUGGACAGCCUUCCCUUUCAUCGGAGCCACACUGUGUGUGUGGCAGGUCUCGGCGCUCUUACAUUGCAGCCACAUCAGAGCAAGUCAUUGCCCAGUCAGGCCUGGCCAUAACUCCCAGUGGUCAUCUCCCUUUGGGGCCUCCAGACUGUAUUCAUUUGCAGAACAGGAAUAAAGAAGGACUUCAAACUUUUU